UAUUAUUUUAAAAUCGAUUGUCAAUUAUAGGUGUAAAGGUAGCAUCGACGGCUAUAAAUGAAUUGAUUUUCUGGAAAUGCAUUUCCUUCACUAUAAAUUAUUCAAAUGACGGCUUGUCAGCAAACUAAUGUUACUUCUCAAAAUAAAUAGUUAGGGUACCUGCUGGAUUACUCAGACUUGUUGAUCUAUCAAGAUUGUUAUUGAGCGGAAUUGGUCGAAGACUAUUCUACGAAGCAAUAUGGAGUUUGGUUUUGCAAACAUGAAUAAAGAUUUAAUUCCGUUAUUUAUCACAUGCCUCCACCAUAAAGAUGUCGAAAACAAAGAUGAUCUGUUGGAGGAAUUGUUGGGAUUUGGCAUUACAAAUGAUAUAUUGGUUUCUGUCAAGUUUACUUUUGAGCUGAAAGAUAUGACGUAUCUUCGUAACCUUAUUAUAAAUUGGAAUCCGUCUCAGACCAUUCUUUACGUUGGUGGGACACUUCGCAAUGAUCCUGCAAAGCGAAAAGAAGAGCAUGAAAAAAAGUUUCGUCUAAUGACAUCAUUCUAUUGCUGCCGUGUACAAGAUGUCAAAACAGUAGAAACUGAGCUACUUCAACUAGGCAGAAAUAUACUUAGGGAAAAUGUCCACAAGAAAAGCAACUGUAGUGCGGAACCUGGAUUCGUGUAUGUUUUAGACACUGGACUAAUAUCUUAGUAGCUUGGUUGAAAAAUAUCUCGAAUCUUUUUUACAGUACCCAUCAAUAGUAAAUCAUGUUAUGUUUGAAUAGAUUUUUACUUAUCAACAUAUUAAUUAAGACUCAUAAUAAAGGGAACUCUGCAGCCGAUGUCAUCAGUCUAUAAUUGUAAUAACCCUUGAAAAAUGGGUAUGUUGAAUGAUGAUUGUAAAAUAUAUUUAUGUAUAUGUAAGAUGGUAUAUCAAAUCGAUUAAAGACACCGUACAAUA